rnacentral:rRNA from 1 species
GACGAACGCUGGCGGCGUGCUUAACACAUGCAAGUCGAACGGAAAGGCCCUGCUUUUGUGGGGUGCUCGAUUGGCGAACGGGUGAGUAACACGUGAGUAACCUGCCCUUGACUUUGGGAUAACUUCAUGAAACUGGGGCUAAUACCGGAUAGGAGCUCCUGCUGCAUGGUGUGGGUUGGAAAGUUUCGGCGGUUGGGGAUGGACUCGCGGCUUAUCAGCUUGUUGGUGUGGUAGUGGCUUACCAAGGCUUUGACGGGUAGCCGGCAUGGGAGGGUGACCGGCCACAUUGGGACUGAGAUACGGCGCAGAAUCCUACGGGCGGCAGCAGUGGGGAAUAUUGCACAAUGGGCGGGAGCCUGAUGCAGCGACGCCGCGUGCGGGAUGACGGCCUUCGGGUUGUAAACCGCUUUCGCCUGUGACGAAGCGUGAGUGACGGUAAUGGGUAAAGAAGCACCGGCUAACUACGUG